rnacentral:rRNA from 1 species
GCCCGAAGACAGGUGCUGCAUGGCUGUCGUCAGCUCGUGUCGUGAGAUGUUGGUUAGCCGCAACGAGCGCAACCCCUACCUCUAGUUGCCAGCGAUUCGGUCGGGGACUCUAGAGAUACUGCCCCGGUUAACGGGGAGGAAGGUGGGGAUGACGUCAAGUCCUCAUGGCCCUUAUGCCCAGGGCUACACACGUGCUACAAUGGGCGGUACAAAGGGUAGCGAUGCCGCGAGGCGAAGCCAAUCCCAAAAAGCCGUCCUCAGUUCGGAUUGGAGUCUGCAACUCGACUCCAUGAAGCCGGAAUCGCUAGUAAUCGCGGAUCAGCAUACCGCGGUGAAUACGUUCCCGGGCCUU